GAGUCCGCGAGAGGUGGGUUGCAGGGAAGAUUGGGAAGAAAAUGGGAAACAGAUCUUUGGAACUGAGGACAAUACUAUAAACGAGCUUUCAGAGUGAAGGCAGCCAGGAAGGGGGGAGGCCAGCAAUUCUAGAGGGAAACCCAACAGCUGCCUCCCAGGAGAAUGAGCCCAUCUGUUUGUUUUACUCUCUCUUAUGGGGUCAGAUCAGGAGAGAAACGCUCCCAGAACCAGAAGCACCCUUUGCCCUCCCACAAAAUGGAAGCUGAGAAGCCAAGUAGGUCACAGUCGCGUCUGGGGCUGCGGUGGGGAAGGCGAGGGAGAUUUUUAGAAAGUGAUGGGACAAGUAGAAAAUCAAAACUGGAAAGGGCCCGGGAAAGGCGCUAGUUCGGUGUCGCCCCUCCCAUCCCUCCCCGGCCCACGCACUUGGGGACAGCAAGGCCCGGAGAAGGGGAGCGAGACCCAGCAGCAGGUGAAGUCUGGGAUUCAUCUUGCUGUUGUGAGCUCCGGACCUAGUGCGCCCAGAGCGACUGAGCCCUACGAGUCCCAGGCAAGAAACACUGGACCAAGAGUCAAGAGGGCGUAGACCGGAGCUUUCUCACCGCUGUUUUUGGCUACCCGAUCCUGGCCGGGGAUGAGACCUCUAUAAACGGUGGUUUAUCCACAGUAAAACCAUAAUAACCACUCUGCCUCCACCAGAGCCUGUUUCGAGAACCAAAUGAGAUAAUAACGGCGAAUAUGUUUUGUAAACGGAAAAACAUUA